ACUAAUCAGAAAAACAAGGGCAGCCCGCUGCCCUCUCGAUUGCUGUAAAGAAGCAUGGACAGACAGAGCGCCGGUCAGUCGUUCCCUGACGGGCGUUAACCACAAGCUUCACAUCAAUCUUCAGGGUAGCCUCGCUACCCUUUUUUACCGGAGUUUG
rfam:Erwinia sp. EM595 isolate E_g_EM595 genome assembly, chromosome: 1